GGUGGGCAUUGCCUAAUCUUUCUACUUCUCUCUUUGUUCAACCGAAGCAAAGAGCUCGGAGGAGGUAGCCGCGAGCACGAGUUUGACGCCGACGACGCGCCGCGAAGCCGUUCGAGGGUACGGUUGGGAUUGUAGCGUUGCGAGGAAACUAGGCGAGGAUGUGUUUUCGCCGUUCUCGACGCCGCGUCGAUGUCCGAUUAGCCUUUGAGCGUCGACCGUCGGUAUUUCAGUUCGUACUCGGCGUAGGAGCGUCGGUUUUCGACGGGACUUGGUUUGUUGGAUUCGGAACUUCGAGAGGAAUCCACGAAGCCCUUACUUGCUGGAUUUGAGUUUGGCGGGAGCUUGACUUCGGGCCUUGGGAGGUUUUCGGACGUUUCGGCAGGUUGUUCCGCAGCCGAGGGGAGUUCCGUGCUGCCAGGGAUUAGCGAGCGAGAGCCCCAGGUUUCGGCUGCUGCACUCUCCGAGACGGAUCGAGGCAAGGGCGUCGCGA